rnacentral:rRNA from 1 species
UACGUAGGGUGCGAGCGUUGUCCGGAAUUAUUGGGCGUAAAGAGCUCGUAGGCGGUUUGUUGCGUCUAUCGUGAAAACCUGCAGCUUAACUGUGGGCUUGCGGUGGAUACGGGCAGACUAGAGUUCGGUAGGGGAGACUGGAAUUCCUGGUGUAGCGGUGAAAUGCGCAGAUAUCAGGAGGAACACCGGUGGCGAAGGCGGGUCUCUGGGCCGAAACUGACGCUGAGGAGCGAAAGCGUGGGGAGCAAACAGG